AACUAACGCUGGCGGCGCGUCUUAACAUGCAAGUCGAGCGGAUGUAGCAAUACAUUAGCGGCGAACGGGUGAGUAACGCGUAGAUAAUAUGCCAUAUAGUCUGGGAUAACGGUGGGAAACUGCCGCUAAUACUGGAUGAUAUAAUUUUGGUGGGAGCUGAAGAUAUUAAAGCAGAGAUGUACUAUAUGAUUAGUCUGCGUCCGAUUAGCUAGUUGGUGCGGUAAGAGCGUACCAAGGCGACGAUCGGUAGCCGGCCUGAGAGGGUGAACGGACACAAUGGGACUGAGACACGGUCCAUACUCCUACGGGAGGCAGCAGUUAAGAAUCUUGCUCAAUGGGGGGAACCCUGAAGCAGCGACGCCGCGUGAGCGAAGAAGGUUUUCGGAUUGUAAAGCUCGUUAAGCUGGGAAAAAUAAGUCGUGAGAUGAUGAUGGUACCAGUCUAAAGCACCGGCUAACUACUUGCCAGCAGCCGCCGUAAGAC
rnacentral:rRNA from 1 species